AGAGUUUGAUCCUGGCUCAGAGCGAACGCUGGCGGCAGGCUUAACACAUGCAAGUCGAGCAGGCCCUUCGGGGUCAGCGGCAGACGGGUGAGUAACACGUGGGAACGUACCCUUUGGUUCGGAAUAACGCUGGAAACUAGCGCUAAUACCGGAUACGCCCUUUUGGGGAAAGGCUUGCUGCCGAAGGAUCGGCCCGCGUCUGAUUAGCUAGUUGGUGGGGUAACGGCCUACCAAGGCGACGAUCAGUAGCUGGUCUGAGAGGAUGAUCAGCCACACUGGGACUGAGACACGGCCCAGACUCCUACGGGAGGCAGCAGUGGGGAAUAUUGGACAAUGGGCGCAAGCCUGAUCCAGCCAUGCCGCGUGAGUGAUGAAGGCCUUAGGGUUGUAAAGCUCUUUUGUCCGGGACGAUAAUGACGGUACCGGAAGAAUAAGCCCCGGCUAACUUCGUGCCAGCAGCCGCGGUAAUACGAAGGGGGCUAGCGUUGCUCGGAAUCACUGGGCGUAAAGGGCGCGUAGGCGGCCAUUCAAGUCGGGGGUGAAAGCCUGUGGCUCAACCACAGAAUUGCCUUCGAUACUGUUUGGCUUGAGUAUGGUAGAGGUUGGUGGAACUGCGAGUGUAGAGGUGAAAUUCGUAGAUAUUCGCAAGAACACCGGUGGCGAAAGCGGCCAACUGGACCAUUACUGACGCUGAGGCGCGAAAGCGUGGGGAGCAAACAGGAUUAGAUACCCUGAUAGUCCACGCCGUAAACGAUGAAUGCCAGCUGUUGGGGUGCUUGCACUUCAGUAGCGCAGCUAACGCUUUAAGCAUUCCGCCUGGGGAGUACGGUCGCAGAUUAAAACUCAAAUGAAUUGACGG
rnacentral:rRNA from 1 species